CCUAUCGUAAGGUGGAAUCUGAAGGAAGCCGGAGGCAAAGUCCCGGCUCGAUGAACAAGAACUACAUACGAGACUGUUUUGAGGUGGAUGAGUUUACAAAACAAAGUCCAAUAUUACCCGAACUUCAUGCAGUAAAUGUGGCGAGUAUAUUGGACGAAGGUGGUUGCU
rfam:Thermobrachium celere DSM 8682 genomic scaffold, scaffold54